AAACCGCAGUGAUUUUAUAAUUUACUAUAAAAAAGUGAAAUUUGAAUACCCAUAAAGAAAUCCAAAAUAACCAAAAUGUGUUGAACCCACKCUAGCUUUGAGGGAAACUGGGAUUUGAUACCCCACUAUUCUUAGUUGUAAAUAAAUAUUAGGUUUACCMGAGCACUAUGAAUAUUAAAAUUUAAAACUCAAAGAGCUUGGCGGUGUUUUAGAMUUCUUAGGGGAACCUGUCUCGUAAUCGAUAAUCCACGUUAUACCUUACCUUUUAUUGAAAUCAGUUUGUACACCGUUGUCAUCAGGUAACUUUUUAGAAAAAUUAAGUUAGCAAUCAAAUUUAUAAUAAAUUUAAAUGUCAAAUCAAGGUGCASUUAAUGAAAAGGACAGGAUGGGUUACAAUUAAAAUUUAUAAAAUGGGGGCGAUCAAUGCAAUUUGCUCCUUAAACAGUUUUAAAAGUAAUGCYAUGUAUAAAAAUAGUUUGAAUAAGGCUCUGAAAUGUGUACAAAUCGCCC
rnacentral:rRNA from 1 species